rnacentral:tRNA from 1 species
AGAAAUUUAGGUAAAUAAUAGACCAAAAGCCUUCAAAGCUUUAAGUAGAAGUGAAAAUCUUCUAAUUUCUG